rnacentral:rRNA from 1 species
UACGUAGGGUGCGAGCGUUAAUCGGAAUUACUGGGCGUAAAGCGUGCGCAGGCGGGGCGGAAAGUCCGCUGUGAAAGCCCGAGGCUUAACCUCGGCGGGUCGGUGGAUACUUCCGUUCUUGAAGGUGCUAGGGGGAGAUGGAAUUACCGGUGUAGCGGUGAAAUGCGUAGAUAUCGGUAGGAACACCAGUGGCGAAGGCGGUCUCCUGGGGCAUUCUUGACGCUGAGGCGCGAAAGCUGGGGGAGCGAACGGG